CGCUGGCGGCGUGCUUAACACAUGCAAGUCGAACGAGAACGGGUUAUAGCUUGCUAUAAUUGUCAGCUAAGUGGCGCACGGGUGAGUAAUGUAUAGGUAUAUGCCUCUUACUAAGGGAUAACAAAUGGAAACGUUUGCUAAUACCUUAUACUCCUUAUUAACAGAAGUUAAUAAGGGAAAGAUUUAUUGGUAAGAGAUUAGCCUGUAUUGUAUCAGUUAGUUGGUGGGGUAAUGGCUUACCAAGACUAUGACACAUAACUGGUUUGAGAGGAUGAUCAGUCACACUGGAACUGAGACACGGUCCAGACUCCUACGGGAGGCAGCAGUGGGGAAUAUUGCACAAUGGACGAAAGUCUGAUGCAGCAACGCCGCGUGGAGGAUGACACAUUUCGGUGCGUAAACUCCUUUUAUAUGAGAAGAUAAUGACGGUAUUAUAUGAAUAAGCACCGGCUAACUCCGUGCCAGCAGCCGCGGUAAUACGGGGG
rnacentral:rRNA from 1 species